CGCUGUAAACGAUGUCGACUUAGGUGUUCCCUUGAGGAGUGGCUUCCGGAGCUAACGCGUUAAGUCGACCGCCUGGGGAGUACGGCCGCAAGGUUAAAACUCAAAUGAAUUGACGGGGGCCCGCACAAGCGGUGGAGCAUGUGGUUUAAUUCGAUGCAACGCGAAGAACCUUACCUACUCUUGACAUCCAAGAACUUAGCAGAGAUGCUUUGGUGCCUUCGGGAACUGAGACAGGUGCUGCAUGGCUGUCGUCAGCUCGUGUUGUGAAAUGUUGGGUUAAGUCCCGCAACGAGCGCAACCCUUAUCCUUUGUUGCCAGCGUUCGGCGGGAACUCAAAGGAGACUGCCAGUGAUAAACUGGAGGAAGGUGGGGAUGACGUCAAGUCAUCAUGGCCCUUACGAGUAGGGCUACACACGUGCUACAAUGGCAUAUACAAAGAGAAGCGACCUCGCGAGAGCAAGCGGACCUCAUAAAGUAUGUCGUAGUCCGGAUUGGAGUCUGCAACUCGACUCCAUGAAGUCGGAAUCGCUAGUAAUCGUGGAUCAGAAUGCCACGGUGAAU
rnacentral:rRNA from 1 species